AGUAGCACGUGGCUAACCUACCCUCUUGACGGAGAUAACCAUUCGAAAGGAUGGCUAAUACCCGAUGUUGUGCGAGAUCGAUAGUUCUUUCACCAAAGGCGGUCCUGCCGCCGCAAGAGGAGGGGGCUGCGCCCUAUUAGCUUGUUGGUGGGGUAAUGGCCUACCAAGGCAGUGAUGGGUAGCUGGUCUGAGAGGACGACCAGCCACAUUGGGACUGAGAUACGGCCCAG
rnacentral:rRNA from 1 species